UAAGGAAUAUUGGUCAAUGGACGCAAGUCUGAACCAGCCAUGCCGCGUGCAGGAUGACGGCCCUCUGGGUUGUAAACUGCUUUUAUCUGGGACGAAAAACGGACUUUCUAGUUCACUUGACGGUACCAGAGGAAUAAGCACCGGCUAACUCCGUGCCAGCAGCCGCGGUAAUACGGAGGGUGCAAGCGUUAUCCGGAUUUACUGGGUUUAAAGGGUGCGUAGGUGGGCAGGUAAGUCAGUGGUGAAAUCUUCAAGCUUAACUUGGAAACUGCCAUUGAUACUAUUUGUCUUGAAUAUCCCGGAGGUAAGCGGAAUAUGUCAUGUAGCGGUGAAAUGCUUAGAUAUGACAUAGAACACCCAUUGCGAAGGCAGCUUACUACAGGAUUAUUGACACUGAGGCACGAAAGCGUGGGGAUCAAACA
rnacentral:rRNA from 1 species